UACGUAGGAGGCAAGCGUUGUCCGGGAGUUACUGGGCGUAAAGCGCACGCAGGCGGUCUUGUCAGUCUGUAGGGACAGGGCACGGCUCAACCGUGUCAGGCUUAUGGAAACUGCAAGACUUGAGGGCUUCAGAGGGAUGGGGAAUUCCGGGUGGAGUGGUGAAAUGCGUAGAGAUCCGGAAGAACACCAAAGGCGAAGGCACCAUCCUGGGGAGUCACUGACGCUCGGGUGCGAAAGCUAGGGGAGCGAACGGG
rnacentral:rRNA from 1 species